rnacentral:rRNA from 1 species
GUUUGAUCCUGGCUCAGGAUGAACGCUGGCGGCGUGCCUAAUACAUGCAAGUAGAACGCUGAAGCUUGGUGCUUGCACCGAGCGGAUGAGUUGCGAACGGGUGAGUAACGCGUAGGUAACCUGCCUGGUAGCGGGGGAUAACUAUUGGAAACGAUAGCUAAUACCGCAUAACAGUCGACAUUGCAUGAUGUUGAUUUGAAAGGGGCAAUUGCUCCACUACCAGAUGGACCCGCGGUGCAUUAGCUAGUUGGUGAGGUAACGGCUCACCAAGGCCGUGAUGCAUAGCCGACCUGAGAGGGUGAUCGGCCACAUUGGGACUGAGACACGGCCCAAACUCCUACGGGAGGCAGCAGUAGGGAAUCUUCCGCAAUGGACGCAAGUCUGACGGAGCAACGCCGCGUGAGUGAAGAAGGUUUUCGGAUCGUAAAACUCUGUUGUUAGAGAAGAACAAGUGCUAGAGUAACUGUUAGCGCCUUGACGGUAUCUAACCAGAAAGCCACGGCUAACUACGUGCCAGCAGCCGCGGUAAUACGUAGGUGGCAAGCGUUGUCCGGAUUUAUUGGGCGUAAAGCGAGCGCAGGCGGUUCCUUAAGUCUGAUGUGAAAGCCCCCGGCUCAACCGGGGAGGGUCAUUGGAAACUGGGGAACUUGAGUGCAGAAGAGGAGAGUGGAAUUCCAUGUGUAGCGGUGAAAUGCGUAGAUAUAUGGAGGAACACCAGUGGCGACGCGACUCUCUGGUCUGUAACUGACGCUGAGGCUCGAAAGCGUGGGUAGCAAACAGGAUUAGAUACCCUGGUAGUCCACGCCGUAACGAUGAGUGCUAAGUGUUGGAGGGUUUCCGCCCUUCAGUGCUGCAGUUAACGCAUUAAGCACUCCGCCUGGGGAGUACGACCGCAAGUUGAAACUCAAAGGAUUGAUGAUCACUAGUGCGACGCUGCAG